GGCCGGUCGGGCAGCCGCGCAUUUUUAAUGUGAGGAAAGUCCGAGCAGCGCAGAGCAGGAUAACGGCUAACGGCCGCCGGGGGCAACCCUAGGGAAAGUGCAACAGAGAUAUACCGCCGUGAAAACGGUAAGGGUGGAAAGGCGAGGUAAGAGCUCACCGAGCGGGUGGAGACAUCCGCUGCCAUGUAAACCCUAUCCGCUGCAACACAGAAUGGGAGGUUGUUUGCUCGACACAGAAUCCCGAAAUGUGGCUUGAGCGCGUCAGCAAUGGCGCGUCGAGAUAGAUGGCUGCCGAUAACAGAACUCGGCUUACAGACCGACCCGU
rnacentral:RNase_P_RNA from 1 species